rfam:Roseburia sp. CAG:182 genomic scaffold, scf307
AUAAUCUGCUGGGGGUGCUUAUGCUGAGAGAUAUCAAGAUAUCGACCCUUAAUACUUGAACCGGAUAAUACCGGCGUAAGGAAGCAAACAGAUCUCCUC